UCCAAAGAAAUUAAAUUGUGGAGAGUUGCAGAGAUUUAGUACUCUGACAUGAGAAACUCCGAAAAGCCUAAAGAGAAUCUUCCUCCCAUGAUCGACAGUUAGAUGUUUCUGCUUCUCGUGUGCUUGUUUUAGCAAUAAUUGGUUGCCAGUCAGUCAGCGCCUGUGAUCCGUACAUCCAUCAGUAUGAAUUAUUGAGCAUCAGAAUGGGCUAAAGUCAUCAUACUUUGAAGAAAGAUUCUCUCAAAAUUGAUUGGGUAUGUCCGUACGGUGACUGAAAAAUAUUUGCAGCUUUUUUCUUUCUAUCGAAAUCCAUGGGGACGUACUUUCAUGUGAGUUCAGAAAUCCAAGCCGCCGCUGAUGGGCUUCAGACACUAUACCUCAUGAAUCCCAACUACGUACCCUACUCUGACACCCAACACCAACAUCCUGCGGCCAACAUGCUGCUCCUCAACCCCGCCGGCAACGCGCUCAACCACGGAAGCCUUCCUCACGCGCCACCGCAGAACCAACACUUCGUUGGAAUCCCACUGAUUCCCGCAAACAGUUCUGAUGAUCCCAACCGUGCAUCAUUGCUUGCCACACAAGAAAUUUCGGCCCUCCAUGGCAUGGCGGGCUCUCGUGUUCACUAUAACUUAUGGGGUCCGGUGGAUCACACAGCUUCUGUGGCGGCGGCGAGCAGCGCCGGUGGUGGCCCAGAUGUCGGGAUGUCGCAUAUGGGUUUUCGGGGGCCAAGUCAGCAGGGGUUGUCGCUCAGCCUGUCGUCUCAUGAUGUUGUAGGACAUGCUCACGUUGCGGGGCUGUCAUCAACAAGCGGCGGCGAAGACUUGCGGGUGUCCGGAAAUUCUCCGUCUUCGGCGUCGGCGGUGUCUAAUGGAAUUUCCGGUAUGCAAAGUGUUCUUCUGGGGUCCAAGUACUUGAAGGCUGCGCAGGAAGUUCUUGACGAAGUAGUAAAUGUUGGAAAGGGAAUCAAAGUGGAGGGGACCAUAGAGAAGAUGAAGAUGAAUAAAGAAUCAAAGGGUAUGAUUGGAGAUUUUCCAGGGGAAAGUAGUACUAGGCAAGCAACUGAGCUCACCACUGCGCAAAGGCAGGAACUUCAGAUGAAGAAGGCAAAGCUUGUCAGUAUGCUUGACGAGGUGGAGCAAAGAUACAGAGAGUACCACCACCAAAUGCAGAUUGUGGUAUCUUCAUUUGAGCAGGCGGCAGGUUUGGGUUCAGCAAGAUCUUACACGGCCCUUGCUUUACAGACGAUCUCAAAGCAAUUCCGAUGUCUCAAGGAUGCAAUUUGUUCACAAAUAAAAGGCACAAGCAAGAGCUUGGGUGAAGAGGAUUACUUAGGAGCAAAGGUUGAGGGUUCAAGGCUGAAGUACGUCGAUCAACAGCUACGACAACAGCGGGCGCUGCAACAACUAGGAAUGUUGCAACACAAUGCCUGGAGACCCCAGAGAGGAUUGCCUGAACGAGCUGUCUCCGUUCUACGUGCUUGGCUCUUUGACCACUUCCUACACCCCUAUCCCAAGGAUGGAGAUAAGAUUAUGCUUGCGAAACAAACUGGGCUAACUCGAAGCCAGGUGUCUAAUUGGUUCAUAAAUGCUCGGGUUAGGCUGUGGAAGCCAAUGGUUGAAGAAAUGUACUCAGAAGAAAUCAAGGAACAAGACCAAAAUGGUUCUCAGGACAACAACAAAAGAGAGUCUAAUAAGGAUCAGUCGGAGUCAACAUCAAGUGCUCGUCAAUCAAAACAAGAAAAAUUCACCCACCAAAAUGUUUCUCCGACCGGAAUCUCAAACUCUUCAGUGUCAUCAUCAACAUCCCACAUGGUCGGAUCCGUUCAACCCCAGACAGGCUUUAACGUAGUAGGGUUGUCGGACAUGCAAAGAAGCCCCAAGCAACCGAGAAGCACGGAAAUGCAAAACUCUCCAAACAAUAUCCUGUCGAUGGAUAUGGACAUGAAAUCCGACGAGGCAAGUGAAGCAAUGAUCAGCGCAAAAUUUGUAAAAGAAAGGCAAAGGAAGGAUGGCUAUUCGUUUAUUAGUGACACAACAAGUAGUCAUGAUCAUGGUGGUGGAUUUGGAACAUACCAGUUCGGAGAUUUUGGAAGGUUUAAUCCGGAGGAAUUGGCGCCAAGAUUUCAAGGAAAUGGCGUUUCCCUCACUCUUGGCCUUCCUCACUGCGAAAACAACCUCUCUGUAUCAGGAACCCAGCAAACCUACCUCUCGCCGUCACAGAAUAUUCAAAUGGCCGGAAGAAGGCUUGAAAUGGGGAACAGCGACACAGAUUUUUGUGUCAUUAAUAACCCACAGUCAUCUCAUUCUAACACUGGCUAUGGGAACAUCGACAUGCGAAGCAGAAAGCGGUUUGCUGCCCAAUUGUUGCCGGAUUUUGUGGCCUGAAGAACUUGCAUAUUUCAGGUGGCAGAGAGAGCCAUGUCCGAGACGACAAGUCAUCAGACUGGAAAUGUACCAACAGUCAUCAUCAUCUUCUUUUGUCUCUACCUAUCAUCUACGCAUGCCGUAAAAACAAUUGCACCACCGUGCUCAUCCUUUUCAGAGAUUUCAAGUAAUAUGGACAGUGUCUCAUUUCAUGCCAUGUGUAUGGUCACAAGUUUCUAAGAAGAUGUCCAUGAAGAUUCCAUGCAAUUUUCAAGUCAGAAUAGCCGGUUCCAGUGCAAUCGUCCGGACGGGCAUUUGAAGGCAUCCAGACACCUUGCAGUGUCUAGAAGAUUCAACGUUGAAGAUGUCCGGACAUCAGAGCAACACCGUUCGAACGCUAGGUCAAGCUUCUCCAAUUUCUACACAGAAUUGGAUUUCAGCAGUCGACAUUGUUUGGGAAGUUUCUACAAGACGUCCAGACGACAUGGCAACACAUCUGGACGCUGUCCAGCUUUUCAAAAUAUUCUGGACUUCCAUUCGAACAAGGAAAGGAUUUAUAGCGAAGACCGUCCAGACGCUCAGCCAACCUGUCCAAACGUACACUUGUUAUGGAAAGAUUUACGCUAUUCUGGAAGGCGGUCACAGAAAAUUGUUCGGACGAAGCUAACUUCUGUUCGGACGCUCGAUAGCUAGAGUUUGAAUUUAAGCAGAUUUAGGUUUUCUGUAAGCCUAUAAAUAGAGGGCUAUAGGCUUGUAAAUUGUAUGAAUUCUGUAACAAAUUCCAUAGUGCUUAGAGAAUGUGUUUAGGGAGAAUCGAAGAUCCGCUAGCUCUUUAGCCGUUGCCGAUGUGUGCUCAACAGUUCAUGUGAAGUCUAUCUUAGGGGUCGGCCCUAAGGUAAAGGAAUCCAUCAAAGACCCCUUCAAGUAGGAGACUUGGUUGGGAAGCGUUUACUAUGGGCUUCGUGUUAUAGUUAAAGGUAUGACUACUGCAAUAGGUUUUGUGAGUACGAGUGCUUUGUAACUUGCUUUUUUUUUGGAUAGUGGAGUUCCUGGGUUUAGCUGCCCUAGAGUGGUUUUUCUCUUCACAGAAUUUCCACUUUGUCAACAAA